rnacentral:lncRNA from 1 species
UGCAUUCUCCACAAGCUGAUGAACAGAUAGUGUGGCAUUGUAAGGCUCAACAACAGUGUCUGAAACCUUUGGAGAUGGGAAAACAGAGAAGGUAAGCAUCAUUCUAUCUGGGUACUCCUCUCUGAUCUUUGAAAUCAAAAGGGUUCCCAUUCCGGACCCAGUCCCUCCUCCCAGGGAGUGGCACACCUGAAACCCUGCAUAUGAUACCACAGGUAAGCACCAAAGAACACAAGUGUUUAAAAUGGUUAAUACAAGUAUCUUUACCCACUCCAGUUAUAGCCUAAAUAAAUUGGAUUCUAUGUUCUUACAUUUAAUACCAAACCAUGCUUAGCUGUUUUGUUGUCUGGUACCAAUCUUCUCCUCUCCCUUCGAUCUUUUUUCCUCUAUUACGUUUUUGCUAUUUCUAAUGAACUUAUUCUUGAAUUAUACUGCUGUUUCUAAGGUACUUUUCUCACAAAUUUCCAAGUACAUUAAGCUAUCAGCAUUACCACUCUGAUAUUUCUCUCACAAACCGACUUCCACUAUUGAUAUUCAAGUCAUUAUUGACCUCCUUACCACAACAAACUAAAAGAUCUGACUUAUCAUGCCCCAAAGCGUUACAGACAUCAUUUCUACUUGGUUAUUUAAGUGAGGGUUUGCAAAAUAAUUUCUAAAAUUUCUUAACUAAGCUGCAAAUUGUUUUUAACACUUCAGAUUAGAUAGUUAGAUUCAUAUAUGACUGUGUACACAUGUCAACAACAAGCAAUAAGACCUCAGCAGCAGAUCUUAAAUCUAUAAUACAAUCUAAACAAAUCAAGAGCAUAAGAGCAGUUAAAACAAACACCUUGAAGGCAGUCACAGUUUUCAGCUUCUUUACGCACAACAUCGAGAACAGAAUCAAUCAGCUCAGCACCCUCAGUGUAAUGACCCUUAGCCCAGUUGUUCCCAGCACCAGAUUGGCCAAAAACAAAGUUAUCAGGACGAAAGAUCUGGCCAUAAGU